UUAAUCUUAUCUAACCUGGUGAGCCUGCAAAUCUACCUGAGCAUCCUCAUCUCCGCAACCUUCAUUCUCUGAGCAUGAGAGUUCUUCACUGGCCAGCACUCCGCCCAUACAACAUGGCAGGUCUAACCACAGCUCUAUAAAAUUUCCCCUUGAGUUUCUGUGGGACUUUCUUGUCACACAGCACUCCUGAUGCAAGCCUCCACUUUGACCA
rnacentral:lncRNA from 1 species